rnacentral:rRNA from 1 species
GACGAACCGUGCGAACGUUGUUCGGAAUCACUGGGCUUAAAGGGCGCGUAGGCGGGCGAUCAAGUCGGGGGUGAAAUCGUUUCGGCUCAACCGGAAAAUAGCCUUCGAUACUGGUCGUCUGGAGGGAGGUAGGGGCGUGUGGAACUUCCGGUGGAGCGGUGAAAUGCGUUGAUAUCGGAAGGAACUCCGGUGGCGAAAGCGACACGCUGGAUCUCACCUGACGCUGAGGCGCGAAAGCGUGGGGAGCGAACAGG